rnacentral:tRNA from 8 species
GGUGCCAUAGCUCAGUUGGUAGAGCAAAGGACUGAAAAUCCUUGUGUCGCUGGUUCGAUUCCAGCUGGCACCA